rnacentral:rRNA from 1 species
GAUGAACGCUGGCGGCGUGCCUAAUACAUGCAAGUCGAGCGAACAGACGAGGAGCUUGCUCCUCUGACGUUAGCGGCGGACGGGUGAGUAACACGUGGAUAACCUACCUAUAAGACUGGGAUAACUUCGGGAAACCGGAGCUAAUACCGGAUAAUAUGUUGAACCGCAUGGUUCAAUAGUGAAAGACGGUUUUGCUGCCACUUAUAGAUGGAUCCGCGCCGCAUUAGCUAGUUGGUAAGGUAACGGCUUACCAAGGCAACGAUGCGUAGCCGACCUGAGAGGGUGAUCGGCCACACUGGAACUGAGACACGGUCCAGACUCCUACGGGAGGCAGCAGUAGGGAAUCUUCCGCAAUGGGCGAAAGCCUGACGGAGCAACGCCGCGUGAGUGAUGAAGGUCUUCGGAUCGUAAAACUCUGUUAUUAGGGAAGAACAAAUGUGUAAGUAACUAUGCACGUCUUGACGGUACCUAAUCAGAAAGCCACGGCUAACUACGUG